rnacentral:rRNA from 1 species
AGCUCCAAUAGCGUAUAUUAAAGUUGCUGCAGUUAAAAAGCUCGUAGUUGGAUCUGGCGUACGGGCUCGAGGUCCGCCGCGUGGCGGUUACUUCCUGUCCCGACGUACCUCUCGGCUUUCCCUCGGUGCUCUUAACUGAGUGUCUUGGGUUACCGGACUGUUUACUUUGAAAAAAUUAGAGUGUUCAAAGCAGGCGCAGUGCCUGCAUAGUGGUGCAUGGAAUAAUGGAACAAGACCUCGGUUCUAUUUUGUUGGUUUCCGGAACGCGAGGUAAUGAUUAAGAGGGACUGCCGGGGGCAUCCGUAUUGCUGCGUUAGAGGUGAAAUUCUUGGAUCGCAGCAAGACGAACUACUGCGAAAGCAUUUGCCAAGAAUGUUUUCA